UUUUUUACACAAAAAAACCAACAUACCUUUUGUUUUGUCGUCAUGAGCAAUAUCAUGACAUUUUUUUAAAACAAGUUGCUAUAUGAGGUUAUGUUUCAUCCUAUGAUAAGUUAAAAUUCAUCCUAGAUAAUUGCCACGGAACGGAAAACAAUUAAAACCUAAAUGAAUUCGGUUUAUAUAUAGCCCAAUAAACUAAAUAAACCAUACUUUAUAUUUAUCAAAAUAAACUCAACAAAAUGAAUUAUGUUUAUUCGAUUGAAACCGAAAACCAAACUGAGUUCAAAUGUGGUUUGUAAUUCGGUUUUGAAGUACUUAAUUUCCGUUCAGUUUGGUUCGGUUUUUAGUUUAACCCCUAAAAUUUCUUAUUGUAUAAAAGCCAACGAAUAACCCAAACAAGUGGAAAAGAACUGUUGGACACCUCUACCGGUUCUAAGUUGUUUUUAUAUUUUGUCACGAUAUUGUUCAAACUUAACAUAUGUGAAGGGACUUUAAUGUUCAAAAAAAUAUUGAGGGACGUUUAUGAAACAAAACAGAAAGUAAAGUGUGUUGGUUUUUUAAGUAUAAAAAUUGUGGAGUGACUUUUUAAAUAUAUUGAUUUUUUAUGGUAUUUGCCCAAUAUUAAAUGUUGUGUAGUAUUGCAAUUUCAAGGUUUUAAUAUAUGUUACAAGACUGCUUAAAAGAUUUUUCAAACUACCUUCAAUUUAUACUUGCAUUUUGAAAAAUAUAUCAUCGUUUAUAACCUUUUUGUAGAAUAUUUUCAAGUUUUGUUGAUACUUUUAACUUUAAAUUUUCGAACAAAAUCCUCACUAUUCCAAUAUUUUUAUAGAUUCAUUUUACAAACCUUUCUGAGUUAAUUAUGUAACAAGUGUUUCUGGAUAUUUUUAUAUUAAGCUUAUUUCAUACUUAAUUCAUGCAGACGUCACUUAUUCUCGAAUUGAUGCACCUAAAAUACCCAUAGAUUUGUUGUGUUUUAACUGUUGAAACAAGAGAUCAUAAUGGACUUGUAAAUUGUUUUUUUUUUAAACUCCUUUUAUCAAUAUUGCAAAUCAGACGCUUUUUUUUUUUU
rnacentral:lncRNA from 1 species